UAAGAGUUCACUCUUGAAUAAAAGAUUAAACAAAAAAUAAAUAAAUAGCAGGUUCCUACCGCUUCCAUUUUUUGUUUACGACAUUCCGAGUUUAUGAUUUACUUUCUAAUCCAACUUUACGCACUAUACACACUUUAUGUAUACUACGCAAGUCUAAUGAGUCGAAAGGAACACGUUUCUGAUUGGCCAUAAUCUAAGUAUUCUACCUUGUGGUAACCGCCAGUUGACUAGACUCGAAUGUUCAUACUCCUGGGUCUAAUGGUUCUCGGAAUUAACUCGGUAAUCGAAGUAUUCUUCAAUGCCCAGGUAUUCUCGUCGAACGUAUGGCUCGUUAUCUAUGGCAGCAUAAUAAAGACCUUGAGCGUAUGUGUACGCACUGGCAACGAGUACUACUCCAUUCACUGCUUAUUUUCACUUUUCACGAGUCACACUGCUUAUGGUCAAAGUGGCGGAACACAAAGGCACGAGAAAAGUGUCUAAUGUAAACCUUAUGGUCCUUUAAUGGGAAUUCGAGGGCUCUGCUGGAAUAGGGGUGGUCGUGUUAGUUGGCGAACAACGGGCUAACGGAAGAGCUUGGUCAAAAUAUUAUGAUCUAUUAAAUUAAUUUAGGUAAGCUAUCCAAGCUAAACCUUAUUUUUCGUAACAUCUUUUUUACUUAUA